AUACGGAGGGUGCGAGCGUUAAUCGGAAUUACUGGGCGUGAAGCGUACGUAGGCGGUUGGUUAAGUUAGAUGUGAAAGCCCCGGGCUUAACCUGGGAACUGCAUUUAAAACUGGCGAACUAGAGUUGAGUAGAGGGGAGUGGAAUUUCAGGUGUAGCGGUGAAAUGCGUAGAGAUCUGAAGGAACACCAGUGGCGAAGGCGACUCCCUGGACUCGAACUGACGCUGAGGUACGAAAGCGUGGGUAGCAAACGGGAUUAGAUACCCUAGUAGUCC
rnacentral:rRNA from 1 species